CUGUGCUGUGACCAGGAGCCUCCUGCCUGCUCAAAAAAAUAAAUUCCCCUUAACUUUUCUCUGCCUCGCAGCCCACCACUCUCGGUGCAGUUGCAUACAACCUGCUGUUGCUGUGCAAGUCACCGGAGCGGAGGCUAUGCGAGGCAAAUCCCUAUAUGCGAGACGUCGUCGUCUCGACGAUUUAUUUUUUUACAUUAGGCGCGGAACUGCAUUUGGUCCUGGGACGGCGCCGGCUAGCUCCCGAAUCCCCAGGGCGGAGUAUCCCCAAUAUCCCUACAGUAUCCACAACAUAAACAUCGAUAUACGCGCGUCUCACUUCACAAAAACUAUCGCUCAUCACUAACAAACAAAACAAACCAAAAUGUAAACAAUGCAAACAAUUAUAAUUGACGGGAAAAAUGUGGUGUUUUGGUGGCUAUCGAUGACUUGGCCAAGCACGCCCACCCAACCAAUGAUGCCCCGGAGGAUUCUGCGGAGGCAUCACCCAUAAUCUGCUGGUCGAAGUCACUCCUCGCGACUAGGACAGCUCCAUCUCCCCCACAGCGACAACUCACUCGCACAUUUCAGUCUUCAUAUACAUUUAAUAUCCACACCUUUACGACCAAACUUGGCCACCGUCUACAAAUUUACGCGGUCAAA